rnacentral:rRNA from 1 species
GUGCAGCAGUCGAGAAACCUCCGCAAUGCACGCAAGUGCGACGGGGGAACCCCAAGUGCCACUCUUAACGGGGUGGCUUUUCAGAAGUGUAAAAAGCUUCUGGAAUAAGGGCUGGGCAAGACCGGUGCCAGCCGCCGCGGUAACACCGGCAGCUCAAGUGGUAGCCGCUUUUAUUGGGCCUAAAGCGUCCGUAGCCGGUCUGAUAAGUCUCUGGUGAAAUCCCACAGCUUAACUGUGGGAAUUGCUGGAGAUACUAUCAUGACUCGAGGUCGGGAGAGGCUGGAGGUACUCCCAGGGUAGGGGUGAAAUCCUGUAAUCCUGGGAGGACCACCUGUGGCGAAGGCGUCCAGCUGGAACGAACCUGACGGUGAGGGACGAAAGCCAGGGGCGCGAACCGGAUUAGAUACCCGUGUAGUCC